rnacentral:rRNA from 1 species
GAUAAACGCUGGCGGCGUGCCUAAUACAUGCAAGUUGAGCGGCAAGGUUCUGCACCCACUAUUUGACCAGAUGAGUCUUUCGCAAGAGAGAUACUAUCUGCAGCGAUAAUCUCUGGCUGAGAUUAUAGUCGAAUGAUGAGUGUAGAAUACACGAGCGGCGGACGGCAGAGUAACGCGUAGGAACGUACCCCAAACAGAGGCANAAGCACCGGAAACGGUGUCUAAUACCGCAUAAUAUCUUCGGAUUAAAGCUUCGGCGGUUUGGGAGCGGCCUGCGUAUGAUUAGCUAGUUGGUGAGGUAAUAGCUCACCAAGGCGACGAUCAUUAGCUGGUCUGAGAGGAUGAUCAGCCAC